rnacentral:snoRNA from 1 species
ACCUAUGAUGAGCAAUAUUCACACUGUGUGAGGUCUGUUUAGUUACAGAUGUAUGAUCGCAAAAAAAUAUAACUGAUUUAAUGACUCUGAGG